AGGGGAAUAUUGCACAAUGGGCGCAAGCCUGAUGCAGCCAUGCCGCGUGUAUGAUGAAGGCCUUCGGGUUGUAAAGUACUUUCAGCGGGGAGGAAGGGAGUAAAGUUAAUACCUUUGCUCAUUGACGCUACCCGCAGAAGAAGCACCGGCUAACUCCGUGCCAGCAGCCGCGGUAAUACGGAGGGUGCAAGCGUUAAUCGGAAUUACUGGGCGUAAAGCGCACGCAGGCGGUUUGUUAAGUCAGAUGUGAAAUCCCCGGGCUCAACCUGGGAACUGCAGCUGAUACUGGCAAGCUUUAGUCUCGUUGAGGGGGGUAGAAUUCCAGGUGUAUCGGUGAAUUGCGUAGAGAUCUGGAGGGAUACCGGUGGCGAAGGCGGCCCCCUUGACGAAGACUGACGCUCAGGUGCGAAAGCGUGAGGAGCAAACAGG
rnacentral:rRNA from 1 species